rnacentral:lncRNA from 1 species
CUCAAAGAUCAUCCAGUUCCAACUCCCUGCCCACCAGGCGAUGCUUGAUGAUGCAUUUUAGAGCAUGACUUUGCUUAUCUUUGUGUAUUAUUCCUUGACUCACUGCUCCAUUAGACACCAAACAAAAGCACAGCAUGCUCCGGUGACUCUGCAAGAUGAAAGAGCUCAGCUUCAGGUUAGCCAGAAAUAGCAGUGAGGAUUGCAGGCUGACGGCGCGAGGAUAAGGGGAGGGCAGUGCAGAAGCCUGGG